GGGGACUUGAAGAGCUGUCACACAUCAGCAAGGAAAAGGGCUUUCGCCAGGGAAACCGUCUCGUCACCCACAGGGCACACCUGCUUGCCCAGUGACCUGCCUCCCUCCCGCACUACUGCCACAGGCGGGAAAGCAAGGUCUCGAAGAGAUAUAUUUGCACACGAGAGAUGGUGCACUACUCCUAACAGCCAGGAGGUGGCGGCGACACAAGUGUCCAUCAGUGGAUGAAAGGAU